rnacentral:rRNA from 1 species
AACGCUGGCGGCGUGCCUAAUACAUGCAAGUCGAGCGGACCAAAGGGAGCUUGCUCCUGGAGGUUAGCGGCGAACGGGUGAGUAACACGUGGGCAACCUGCCUGUAAGACUGGGAUAACAUCGAGAAAUCGGUGCUAAUACCGGAUAAUAAAAAGAACUGCAUGGUUCUUUUUUGAAAGAUGGUUUCGGCUAUCACUUACAGAUGGGCCCGCGGCGCAUUAGCUAGUUGGUGAGGUAACGGCUCACCAAGGCAACGAUGCGUAGCCGACCUGAGAGGGUGAUCGGCCACACUGGGACUGAGACACGGCCCAGACUCCUACGGGAGGCAGCAGUAGGGAAUCUUCCGCAAUGGACGAAAGUCUGACGGAGCAACGCCGCGUGAGUGAUGAAGGUUUUCGGAUCGUAAAACUCUGUUGUUAGGGAAGAACAAGUGCCGUUCGAAAGGGCGGCACCUUGACGGUACCUAACGAGAAAGCCACGGCUAACUACGUG